UUUUUUACACUCCCAACUGUAAACCCUCUAGAUCAAUAAAACUCUCAAAAAGAUAAAAAUUUAAGAUUUAAAAAAUGCUAUUUAACGGAACUAUUUUAUCUAAUUCUUGUAGUAUAGGCCUAGAUGUGCUUGGUUUGAAGACAGUGGCAAAGCUUCCACCGAACGAAGCCGCGAUUUGGAAACUCCAUACGCAGUGAACCUCACGGUGGAGGCGCCCUGGCCCUAAGCGCUCGGCGCACGCAUGCAACCACUCCAAGUAAACUCUGUACGGCGGGGGAGGGGGUUCGAGAUUUAAAUUUUCGAGGCAAAAAUUCUGCUUUCGUUUUCCCAAAUUCCCACUAACGUGUUGUUAUGAAUGAACUGAAAUGAAAAUGCAAUGGAUUUUAGGCCAGCAACAGCUUCAUGGAACGGAACAUUUGCAACGGAACAUUUCAUCUGUACCCUCAUGGAAUGAGAAUUCCUUAGUUGUAACUUGAAAAUGAUAUCUAUGCGCUGGAUAGUCAACGUCUACAAAAUGCAUCUCAGUAAGGAUCCGGUAUCAAGAAUGUCACAUAUACAACAGGCUGGAGAAAAUGGACCAACUAACAUGCAUCGGAUGAGCAGCCCCAAGCGGUACUUACAAGGUAUUUCUGAAUCAGCU